rnacentral:rRNA from 1 species
UACGUAGGGUCCGAGCGUUGUCCGGAAUUAUUGGGCGUAAAGAGCUCGUAGGUGGUUUGUUGCGUCGUUCGUGAAAACUCACAGCUCAACUGUGGGCGUGCGGGCGAUACGGGCAGGCUGGAGUACUGCAGGGGAGACUGGAAUUCCUGGUGUAGCGGUGGAAUGCGCAGAUAUCAGGAAGAACACCGGUGGCGAAGGCGGGUCUCUGGGCAGUAACUGACGCUGAGGAGCGAAAGCGUGGGGAGCGAACAGG